rnacentral:tRNA from 1 species
GCCCCGUUAGCUCAGUUGGUAGAGCGCCAGUUUUGUAAACUGGAUGUCGCUGGUUCAAUCCCGGCACGGGGCUCCA